CCACGUGAGUGUAAUGAACAGAGGACUGGCGAAUCUCAAUGCGGAGGCAGUUUAUAAGGAAAGGAGGAAAGGAAUAUACAGAGGAAGCGUGUAAAACAGUAGAAUGACGAUAGCGCGAAGAGUGUUAAUUAAUACGUAACGUCUCAGGCAAUUAAAGUAAUAACCUAUAAUAAGGAGAGGUUCAAUGAACGAAAUAUUGCAAGAGCAUUUUCCGUGAUGAUCAACGUACAGCUAAGGGAAUCUGUAAUGGACGACGUAGGCUGUGAUAAAUAAAUUUAUGGUACGCAGAAGAUUAUCGUUGACGGUGCUAAAUUGUACGAUAAUUUAAAGGACGUUGAAGUGAUUGAAGAUAUUGAAUGUUGAAUCGAGGAUAUUCUAUAGGAUCACAGAAGAUGGCGCCGAAUAUUCUCAUAUACAAUUCCAGUAUUGAGCCGUCAACGAUAUCCAAAAGGAAUAAGUGACUAAAAAGAAAUAUAUUUUCGUACGAUUAAAAUGGUUUAUAUUAUUUUGAAGAAUUACAAUAGAAAAAAAAAGGCUUUUCUCUAUAUCCAUUUAUUCAGCCAAUGUAUGAAUCAUCUAACCGAAAAAAAUCUUGUACCAGCCAAAUUCCAACGAGCCGCUCAGUCGACAAAGGGUGUCCGGAGGGUGAAAAAUUGAAUUAGCAGAAAAUUGGCGAAAAAAUCAAGGGAAGCCAAGUAAUUCCUUGGGACGCCGUAAGAUAUAUUGUAACAAGGUAAGAAAAGGCAGCCAGGAGUGUCCAUAAAGAAGCGUCCAAUGAAGUGAAGUGGAGUGAAGUGGAAGCUGCGGUACCUCUUUACACAUUUUCACCAAGGCUCUUUCAUCGUCUACUCCGCCCUGGGAUCGACGACAAUGCUCCGCCGUGUCCUGGCACAAAGCUAAACACCCAAAAUAUUGGCAAAUCCUGCUAUUCACCGGGCGCGAGUAUCUCAAGUCCAAUCUCCGGUUAGCUAAUCCUGUUAGACAGCCAAACCGUCACGUUUGUGGCGUUCGAAAAAAUCCCGCUUAAUUUCAACCGGAAGAUGAAUUUACGAAAGCGGAAGUGCCAUUGAAAAAAAAAUAUUUUCUACCGCACUUAGAUUUUGGAAAUUCAGACGUUCUACAGUGGUCGCGCGAUUCUUUUGAAAAAUUUGCAAAAUUACUUUCAAUCCUGACCUCCUCGCCUUUUCUGCGCUUUGACCCGGUGGUUUGAAAAUUUGAAAAAUAUAUUUUUACAAUUUUCUACCAAUCUUUAGACUAGCGGGAAUAACAUUUUUUUUUUACAAAUACAAAAUUUUUUUUACUACCAAUAAUUGUUCUCGUACAAAUAGCUUUGUUCCUGCCAGACUACAGAAAUAAAUUUCACUCAAAAUUUGCGUUCCUCUUCCGCUUUAUCCGACAAACAACAACAACAACAGCCAAUAACUGUACUACCACUUUCCCAAGUUUCCAGGGUUACACGAGGAGUUUAUAAAUUAUGAAUAUUUAAGAAGAUCAGUAUGGCCGACAUCGAGUGGCCGAGCAGC